UCCAUGGUGGUCUAGUGCCUAAGGAUCCUGUGAUCUCGCCGCCGUGGGUCGGGUUCGAUUCCCGGGCAGGGAA